rnacentral:rRNA from 1 species
CUCCUGACUGACCGAUAGUGAACCAGUACCGUGAGGGAAAGGCGAAAAGAACCCCGGCGAGGGGAGUGAAAAAGAACCUGAAACCGUGUACGUACAAGCAGUGGGAGCACGCUUAGGCGUGUGACUGCGUACCUUUUGUAUAAUGGGUCAGCGACUUAUAUUCUGUAGCAAGGUUAACCGAAUAGGGGAGCCGAAGGGAAACCGAGUCUUAACUGGGCGUUAAGUUGCAGGGUAUAGACCCGAAACCCGGUGAUCUAGCCAUGGGCAGGUUGAAGGUUGGGUAACACUAACUGGAGGACCGAACCGACUAAUGUUGAAAAAUUAGCGGAUGACUUGUGGCUGGGGGUGAAAGGCCAAUCAAACCGGGAGAUAGCUGGUUCUCCCCGAAAGCUAUUUAGGUAGCGCCUCGUGAAUUCAUCUCCGGGGGUAGAGCACUGUUUCGGCAAGGGGGUCAUCCCGACUUACCAACCCGAUGCAAACUGCGAAUACCGGAGAAUGUUAUCACGGGAGACACACGGCGGGUGCUAACGUCCGUCGUGAAGAGGGAAACAACCCAGACCGCCAGCUAAGGUCCCAAAGUCAUGGUUAAGUGGGAAACGAUGUGGGAAGGCCCAGACAGCCAGGAUGUUGGCUUAGAAGCAGCCAUCAUUUAAAGAAAGCGUAAUAGCUCACUGGUCGAGUCGGCCUGCGCGGAAGAUGUAACGGGGCUAAACCAUGCACCGAAGCUGCGGCAGCGACGCUGAUGCGUUGUUGGGUAGGGGAGCGUUCUGUAAGCCUGCGAAGGUGUGCUGUGAGGCAUGCUGGAGGUAUCAGAAGUGCGAAUGCUGACAUAAGUAACGAUAAAGCGGGUGAAAAGCCCGCUCGCCGGAAGACCAAGGGUUCCUGUCCAACGUUAAUCGGGGCAGGGUGAGUCGACCCCUAAGGCGAGGCCGAAAGGCGUAGUCGAUGGGAAACAGGUUAAUAUUCCUGUACUUGGUGUUACUGCGAAGGGGGGACGGAGAAGGCUAUGUUGGCCGGGCGACGGUUGUCCCGGUUUAAGCGUGUAGGCUGGUUUUCCAGGCAAAUCCGGAAAAUCAAGGCUGAGGCGUGAUGACGAGGCACUGCGGUGCUGAAGCAACAAAUGCCCUGCUUCCAGGAAAAGCCUCUAAGCAUCAGGUAACAUCAAAUCGUACCCCAAACCGACACAGGUGGUCAGGUAGAGAAUACCAAGGCGCUUGAGAGAACUCGGGUGAAGGAACUAGGCAAAAUGGUGCCGUAACUUCGGGAGAAGGCACGCUGAUAUGUAGGUGAAGUCCCUCGCGGAUGGAGCUGAAAUCAGUCGAAGAUACCAGCUGGCUGCAACUGUUUAUUAAAAACACAGCACUGUGCAAACACGAAAGUGGACGUAUACGGUGUGACGCCUGCCCGGUGCCGGAAGGUUAAUUGAUGGGGUUAGCGCAAGCGAAGCUCUUGAUCGAAGCCCCGGUAAACGGCGGCCGUAACUAUAACGGUCCUAAGGUAGCGAAAUUCCUUGUCGGGUAAGUUCCGACCUGCACGAAUGGCGUAAUGAUGGCCAGGCUGUCUCCACCCGAGACUCAGUGAAAUUGAACUCGCUGUGAAGAUGCAGUGUACCCGCGGCAAGACGGAAAGACCCCGUGAACCUUUACUAUAGCUUGACACUGAACAUUGAGCCUUGAUGUGUAGGAUAGGUGGGAGGCUUUGAAGUGUGGACGCCAGUCUGCAUGGAGCCGACCUUGAAAUACCACCCUUUAAUGUUUGAUGUUCUAACGUUGACCCGUAAUCCGGGUUGCGGACAGUGUCUGGUGGGUAGUUUGACUGGGGCGGUCUCCUCCUAAAGAGUAACGGAGGAGCACGAAGGUUGGCUAAUCCUGGUCGGACAUCAGGAGGUUAGUGCAAUGGCAUAAGCCAGCUUGACUGCGAGCGUGACGGCGCGAGCAGGUGCGAAAGCAGGUCAUAGUGAUCCGGUGGUUCUGAAUGGAAGGGCCAUCGCUCAACGGAUAAAAGGUACUCCGGGGAUAACAGGCUGAUACCGCCCAAGAGUUCAUAUCGACGGCGGUGUUUGGCACCUCGAUGUCGGCUCAUCACAUCCUGGGGCUGAAGUAGGUCCCAAGGGUAUGGCUGUUCGCCAUUUAAAGUGGUACGCGAGCUGGGUUUAGAACGUCGUGAGACAGUUCGGUCCCUAUCUGCCGUGGGCGCUGGAGAACUGAGGGGGGCUGCUCCUAGUACGAGAGGACCGGAGUGGACGCAUCACUGGUGUUCGGGUUGUCAUGCCAAUGGC